UACGUAGGCAGCGAGCGUUGUUCGGAAUUACUGGGCGUAAAGAGUGUGUAGGCGGUGCUCUAAGUCUGUCGUGAAAUCUCCCGGCUUAACUGGGAGGGUGCGGCGGAAACUGGAGUGCUAGAGGGUGGGAGAGGAAAGCGGAAUUCCUGGUGUAGCGGUGAGAUGCGUAGAUAUCAGGAGGAACACCUGCGGUGUAGACAGCUUUCUGGACCACUUCUGACGCUGAGACACGAAAGCGUGGGUAGCAAACAGG
rnacentral:rRNA from 1 species